rnacentral:rRNA from 1 species
AGUGAACGCUGGCGGUAGGCCUAACACAUGCAAGUCGAACGGCAGCACAGUAAGAGCUUGCUCUUACGGGUGGCGAGUGGCGGACGGGUGAGGAAUACAUCGGAAUCUACUUUUUCGUGGGGGAUAACGUAGGGAAACUUACGCUAAUACCGCAUACGACCUACGGGUGAAAGCAGUGGAUCUUCGGACCUUGCGCGAUUGAAUGAGCCGAUGUCGGAUUAGCUAGUUGGCGGGGUAAAGGCCCACCAAGGCGACGAUCCGUAGCUGGUCUGAGAGGAUGAUCAGCCACACUGGAGCUGAGACACGGUCCAGACUCCUACGGGAGGCGGCAGUGGGGAAUAUUGGACAAAGGGCGCAAGCCUGAUCCAGCCAUACCGCGUGGGUGAAGAAGGCCUUCGGGUUGUAAAGCCCUUUUGUUGGGAAAGAAAAGCAGCAGGUUAAUACCCCGAUGUUCUGACGGUACCCAAAGAAUAAGCACCGGCUAACUUCGUG